GACCCAUUAGCUCAGUAGGUAGAGCACUUGACUUUUAAUCAAGGAGUCCGGCGUUCGAGUCGCCGAUGGGUCACCA
rnacentral:tRNA from 1 species